GUGGGCGUCGUCUAACGGUGAGGACGUUACGUUGUGGCGAGUUCUUGCAUCUCACACAUCUUUCCGUGGAAAUGGGGGUUCGAUUCCCCCCGCCCACA